CUGAACAAAGAAAAAAAUUGGUUUAAAGUGUGGCGUUGGGAUGGAUAAAUAAUGGUAGGAAGGGAUACUUGAUGAUCGGAGUAAUAAGAGAUGAAAAUAAAACUCGCAAGACUUUUCACUUCUUUUUUUUCUUCUUCUUUUUUACUCCUUUUUUUUUGCUCACUUCUUUUUUUUCUUUUUUUUUGAUUUUUUUUUGAAUUUUGAUUUUUUUUUUGUGAUACUCCAAUACAAUAGUAAGGUAAAUACAAGGAAGGAAAAAAAAUUAAAUUACAACUCAAAAUUUUUUUUUAUUUUUUUCUUCACGUUCCGAACCUACUUGUGGCCUUGUUACGAACGUCGGUGCUCCUCGUUUUGCAAGCUCUGACACCAAAUGAUGUGAUCCGGCUCGAUGAUGUAGAGUUGAGUC
rnacentral:lncRNA from 1 species